rnacentral:rRNA from 1 species
AACGAACGCUGGCGGCAGGCUUAACACAUGCAAGUCGAGCGCCCCGCAAGGGGAGCGGCAGACGGGUGAGUAACGCGUGGGAAUCUACCCAUCUCUACGGAAUAACGCAUGGAAACGUGUGCUAAUACCGUAUACGUCCUUCGGGAGAAAGAUUUAUCGGAGAUGGAUGAGCCCGCGUUGGAUUAGCUAGUUGGUGGGGUAAAGGCCUACCAAGGCGACGAUCCAUAGCUGGUCUGAGAGGAUGAUCAGCCACACUGGGACUGAGACACGGCCCAGACUCCUACGGGAGGCAGCAGUGGGGAAUAUUGGACAAUGGGCACAAGCCUGAUCCAGCCAUGCCGCGUGAGUAAUGAAGGCCCUAGGGUUGUAAAGCUCUUUCACCGGUGAAGAUGAUGACGGUAACCGGAGAAGAAGCCCCGGCUAACUUCGUGCCAGCAGCCGCCGUAAUAC